rnacentral:rRNA from 1 species
GAUGAACGCUGGCGGCGUGCCUAAUACAUGCGAGUCGAGCGAACGGACGAGAAGCUUGCUUCUCUGAUGUUAGCGGCGGACGGGUGAGUAACACGUGGAUAACCUACCUUUAAGACUGGGAUAACUUCGGGAAACCGGAGCUAAUACCGGAUAAUAUUUUAAACCGCAGGGUUCAAAAUAAAAAGCCGUUCUUGCUGUCCCUUAUAAAUGGAUCCGCGUUGCUUUAGCUAGUUGGUAAGGUAACGGCUUACCAAGGCAACGAUGCAUAGCCGACCUGAGAGGGUGAUCGGCCACACUGGAACUGAGACACGGUCCAGACUCCUACGGGAGGCAGCAGUAGGGAAUCUUCCGCAAUGGGCGAAAGCCUGACGGAGCAACGCCGCGUGAGUGAUGAAGGUCUUCGGAUCGUAAAACUCUGUUAUUAGGGAAGAACAUAUGUGUAAGUAACUGUGCACAUCUUGACGGUACCUAAUCAGAAAGCCACGGCUAACUACGUG